AUUCAAGCAGUGCUUUUGACAACCCUGUCCACCUCUGGGUACAACUGGGUACAAUGCGGUGAGACAGCGAUGAGGAGGAAGUUGAUAUGGGGUGCUUCUGCGAUCCUGCCAGGAGGAGACGGAGGCACAGGACACCUGCAGGAGCGCUCCACACCUGUCCAGGUCACCUGCAGUCUUCUCAGACCUCACUAGAGGGCCUGAUGUGCCAAGGCCAAGAAACAAUCCAGAGGCCAGAGACAUCAUCGCUUAGGGGAAAAGAGAAGGGACUGACUGGAGAUGACACUGCUGAGGUGAGCAGACAGGUGGCAUCACAGAGCACAGAGGAUCCCAGAGCUCUUCCCCUCCGCUCUUCCUGACAGAACAAGAAACUCAACCGCACUAGUUCGGUGGAAUGAUGGACUGAAAGCAAGGUGUACGCUCCUGCCACCUGUGAUGCCAUCACCUGAGGUCUAUAAAUGAGCAGCUCCCACAGACACCAGGUACAAGAAGACCCAGAGAUCACACCCCUACCACCAAGCCACGAGUCCAGUGGAACAAGCACAGGUGUGGGAUUCUGCUACACAACACCUACAACGACAACCUGGUCAGCGGAGAGAUGCAGUCGAAGGUGUGCAUCGCAUUUCUGCUAGUGGUUAUGAUGACCCUAAUAAUAGCUGUGAACCCAACAAUCUCAGCAAAUACCACCAGUAUCACAGCCUCCAGCAACACCACAAAUACCGCAGCCUCCAGCAGCUCCAGCAAUACCACCAACUCGUCGGCGCCGCAUUUCGGUGCGGGCUGUGCCACCAUCUCACUGGGGUUGACCUCCGUGGUGGUCCACGGCGUCCUGGUUCCCUGAUGAUGAGCUGAGCUCUCCGCAUCUCCCAGGCGUACGUCACAGAUGGCCUCGGACUGCAGACGUUUCGCCGCAAAUUUUCAAUGAAUUAACUAGCUCGAAAUUUACUCUGCUUGCAAGCUAAUCAUCUCAGAUUUGUUGCUUUUGUAUACAAGCUACAUAUGCAAUAUAUGUCCCUAGUGCUUAAUUACUGUUAAUGUACAUACGUUAAUACUGCAUGUAGUUGCGACUUAAACAUAUUUUCCUUCGAUGUUCUAUGAGGGAAACGUUAAACUUUAAGUGGAAAAUGAAAUGACGACGACACGAGAUGUUUUCAUUCAAAGGCAAAAAAGAGUGGGACUAAAACGAAAACACGCGAGUCUCCAGAAGGAAGAGGGAUCAAGCGACGUGCUUGUAGGAAGUCGAACGUCAUCCGUCCCCGUUGCUCCACAGCCUUGCCUUGGCCCCCCGGCCGCUUUCCUAUCGCCUGAGCGAUGACUGGAAUGCAGCGCGGUCCUCACACGGGUGAGGAAACCGAAAGGUGAGGACCGUGGUCCGGAUUGUGGAGAGAUGAAGUUCAAACACGGACACAGAGCAACCGUAAACGGAAAAUGUGAACUUUUCUCGCUACGGAGACACUGCUGAUGUUCCCCCGAUGCUGUUCAAAUAUUUAUACUCAUACUUCCAAAGCGUAAAUGUUAAACCUGAUCCACAUCCACACUGACUGCUGCAAUAAAUACAUUUCAAAGACAA